rnacentral:lncRNA from 1 species
AAACAAACCAGUUCACAGCCCAAGGAGCAGCCCGGCAGGGUCCCUCAUGUCUAGGAAGGUGUCCCCUAUCUAAGGACUUGCCCCCUUUUUGGUGUGGGGUGGGACCCAGGCCUGUGCAUGGUACCCUGCGCCCAGCACUCACCCGCCAGCCUCUUCCCUUUCAACAGACGGUGAACCCUGUCCCCACUCAGGGACUGCACCCCACUGCCCACAGCUCCACGGCUUGUUCCUCUACAGCUGCUGACCCUGCAUGGACAUGUGGCUGUCACAUGUCAUCCAGAAGUGACAGUUAGGUCACAUACUGUCCACCCAUCUGAAGCCCGUGGCUGGCCUUAGGGUUGAGCCUGGGUGUGUGUCCUGUGGGUGUGACAUGCUCCCUGCCCUGAAGACCCUCCACUCUGCCGUCCGUCCCCCUUCUCCAGUUCCCGGCCACCGGGGACCUCGCUGUCUCCAGCUCGGCCUUUUCCAGAAGGUCCCACGCUGUGCUGGGGUGACACGGGAGCCCGGCAGGAGGAGCCAAGGCCAAGGUCAACCAGUCUCCUGGCUCAGGUGGUCCUUGGUUGGCCUGUCCGCCCGGCUUCAGAUACAGCAGGGACUGGGCAGCUGGUGGGGGACGGGGAGGGACUCCCAAAGCCAGAAGCCCCCCGGGGGGGGCGCAACGCAGGGACACCGCAGGGACACCGUGAGUGGUAGCCGGCUGGAGGCUCCUCACCCUCCAUGCGUCCUUCAUCCUUGGAGAUGGCCUCGGUGUCCACGCAGAGGAGUCUCGAAGGCUGACCAUCAGGGCAGGCUGUCCCUGGCGGCGUCUGAUUGCGUCUCUCCCUCUCCGACUGGGGUCAUGGCCUCUCUCUGAGGAGUGGCAGCUGGCAGAGGUACCGUGACAGGUGAUCUCAGGGGCGAGUGACUCCACGGGCCGCAGCGGGAGUCCCACCCGCCCGGUCUCCUCCUCUGCCCGGAGGGUCUCGGUUUCUCCCAUGUGUGCCCUGGAGGGUGAAGACCCCCUCUGGAACUCCCGGGAGCAUGGUGACCUCGCCAUCCCCAAUGGGGACAUUUUGGAAAAACAGGAAGUGGUGGCACUUGGCAGCCGCUUCAUGGGAGGGUGGGUGUCACUGCGGGACGGUUCCAGGGCGUAAAACAGGGCGGAGGCGAGAACACAAACAGCUUUUUCUAAAUCUUGAGACCUCCAAGUUGCCCGGGCCUUGAACUUGAGGUCCUCCUGCCUCAGCCUCCGAGCCGCUGGGAUCACAGGCACAAAGGCUUCCUAAAGUCGUCCCCUAAGGGGCUGGACUGGCUCAGCACCAGGAAAACGAGGGCGUUGUGCUGUGUCCACCUACACCUGGAAGUCGAUGUUGACAAGUAUUUAGAUAAGGGAGUCGCUCCUGUGACUUCAAGUUCGUGUCUGAAACCAAAGCUGAAGGACCACCCCCCCUUCCAGGAGGGACCUGGUGGGCUGGGCUUCGCGCUUCUGCCCAGGAACCCUGACCCUGGACAGCACAGCCCUCUGAGCCUAGCGAGUGACAUCCGCGUCACCGCCACGGUGGCAUUGGAUCUGCGGGCUGCAGCAUCGCGAGGGAGAUUGCAGGGAGCGCCCGUCCAGGGACAGCCCCAGGGACAGCCCUCUUGGCAGCUGACCUGCUCCGACCUGGUCUUCUCUCUGUCCUCCCUGUUUUGUGGGGAGCCUCCUCUGUCUCAAGUCUCCGGUCGGGUCGUUUGAUCAGGGAGCAGGUGGUGAGCACACAGGUGGCACGUGCCGGCUGGGCGUCCCCACGGGGUCGGAGUGGGGGGACGGGUAUCUUCCCGGAUAAGGGGGUGUGCCUGCGAG